UACGUAGGGCGCAAGCGUUGUCCGGAAUUAUUGGGCGUAAAGAGCUCGUAGGCGGCUUGUCACGUCGGGUGUGAAAGCUCGGGGCUUAACCCCGGGUCUGCAUUCGAUACGGGCUGGCUGGAGUGUGGUAGGGGAGAUCGGAAUUCCUGGUGUAGAGGUGAAAAUUCGUAGAUAUCGGGAGGAACACCAGUGGCGAAGGCGGGUCUCUGGGCCGAUACUGACGCUGAGGAGAGAAAGCGUGGGGGAGCGAACAGG
rnacentral:rRNA from 1 species